rnacentral:tRNA from 1 species
AUUAGCUCAGUUGGUAGAGCACUCGACUUUUAAUCGAGGAGUCAUGGGUUCGAGUCCCGUAUGGUG